UACAGAGGGCGCGAGCGUUAAUCGGAUUCACUGGGCGUAAAGGGCGCGUAGGCGGUUAUAUGAGUGUGAUGUGAAAGCCCUGGGCUUAACCUAGGAAGUGCAUCGCAAACGAUAUGACUGGAGUAUUGGAGAGGGUAGCGGAAUUUCCGGUGUAGCGGUGAAAUGCGUAGAGAUCGGAAGGAACGUCAAUGGCGAAGGCAGCUACCUGGCCAAAUACUGACGCUGAGGCGCGAAAGCGUGGGGAGCAAACAGG
rnacentral:rRNA from 1 species